rnacentral:rRNA from 1 species
CCAAUAGCGUAUAUUAAAGUUGUUGCAGUUAAAAAGCUCGUAGUUGAAUUUCGGGGUCUGUCCAUUGGUCGGGCUUUACGGUCCGUACUGGUGAGAUGGGUUCCUACCUUCUGAAUAACCAGCAUGCCAUUCAUUUGGUGCGCCGGGGAAGCAGAGCUAUUACCUUGAAAAAAUUAGAGUGCUUAAAGCAGGCUAGUGCUUGAAUAGAUUAGCAUGGAAUAAUAAAAUAGGACGGCUUGGUUCUAUUUUGUUGGUUUCUAGGAUCACCGUAAUGAUUAAUAGGGAGAGUUGGGGGCAUUAGUAUUCAAUUGUCAGAGGUGAAAUUCUUGGAUUUAUUGAAGACUAACUUCUGCGAAAGCAUUUGCCAAGGAUGUUUUCAUUAAUCAAGAACGAAAGUUAGGGGAUCGAAGACGAUCAGAUACCGUCGUAGUCUUAACCAUAAACUAUGCCGACUAGGGAUCAGACGAUGUUAAUUUUUUAAUGACUCGUUCGGCGCCUUACG